rnacentral:rRNA from 1 species
CUGGCGGCGUGCUUAACACAUGCAAGUCGAGCGGUAAGGCCUUUCGGGGUACACGAGCGGCGAACGGGUGAGUAACACGUGGGUGAUCUGCCCUGCACUCUGGGAUAAGCCUGGGAAACUGGGUCUAAUACCGGAUAUGACCUGCUCUCGCAUGGGGGUGGGUGGAAAGAUUUAUCGGUGCAGGAUGGGCCCGCGGCCUAUCAGCUUGUUGGUGGGGUAAUGGCCUACCAAGGCGACGACGGGUAGCCGACCUGAGAGGGUGACCGGCCACACUGGGACUGAGACACGGCCCAGACUCCUACGGGAGGCAGCAGUGGGGAAUAUUGCACAAUGGGCGAAAGCCUGAUGCAGCGACGCCGCGUGAGGGAUGAAGGCCUUCGGGUUGUAAACCUCUUUCAGCAGGGACGAAGCGCAAGUGACGGUACCUGCAGAAGAAGCACCGGCUAACUACGUGCCAGCAGCCGCGGUAAUACGUAGGGUGCGAGCGUUGUCCGGAAUUACUGGGCGUAAAGAGUUCGUAGGCGGUUUGUCGCGUCGUUUGUGAAAACCCGGGGCUCAACUUCGGGCUUGCAGGCGAUACGGGCAGACUUGAGUGUUUCAGGGGAGACUGGAAUUCCUGGUGUAGCGGUGAAAUGCGCAGAUAUCAGGAGGAACACCGGUGGCGAAGGCGGGUCUCUGGGAAACAACUGACGCUGAGGAACGAAAGCGUGGGUAGCAAACAGGAUUAGAUACCCUGGUAGUCCACGCCGUAAACGGUGGGCGCUAGGUGUGGGUUCCUUCCACGGAAUCUGUGCCGUAGCUAACGCAUUAAGCGCCC